UACAGAGGGGGCAAGCGUUAUUCGGAAUCACUGGGCGUAAAGGGCGCGUAGGCGGCCCGCACAAGUCUGCGGUGAAAACCCCCGGCUUAACCGGGGGCCGGCCGUGGAAACUGUCGGGCUGGAGGCUGGGAGAGGGCAGCGGAAUUCCCGGUGUAGCGGUGAAAUGCGUAGAGAUCGGGAGGAACACCGGCGGCGAAGGCGGCUGCCUGGACCAGUCCUGACGCUGAGGCGCGAAAGCUAGGGGAGCAAACAGG
rnacentral:rRNA from 1 species